CUCCGACUUCCUAGGGUCGAAGUUACUGCCUGCUGGGUUUUAGAAGCUAUUGCUUUACGUCUGAGAAAAAAAUCCCAGAAAGUUCGUUAUUGGGAAACUUUACAGCGUGCCAGUAGUGGUUAUAAACCCCGAAUAAGAGCCUUGUCAUCACGGAGCGUGUAGUUCCAGCAAGUAGAGAAUUCAAGUGCUGUGUAGUGAAAUAAUUGCUGAGAUAGUGUACGGAAGCAGAGAGUACACUGUUCAUCCAACAAGUAAUUGCUGGAAGAGCAAAUAGGGACACCUAACCAUUGCAGGGGCGACUCAGGAUAUCCUUUCUGGAAGAAAAGUCUGAUGAAAUCUGAAGGACCACUGGUUGAAGUUAGCCAGGAAAGAAAAGGGCAUUUUAAUAUAGAAGUGUGAAAAAUGGAAAGUCAGUCUGAAAGGGGACGUCUUGAAUGUCGUUUUGAAGGUGUUGCGUUUGAAGUACUGAUGAAAUGCUGUGAGUGGAAACAAACUCAGGUGGGAGGGACAAAAAAUAAUAUCCAGGGAUAUUUUGGCACUAACGGCGUGAUCUGUAGCAAGAAAGUUGAGUGGUCUGAACUGUUGAGACUUCCAAGGAGACUUCAGAGAACCAAGACAGUGUAAAGGAAAACAGGAAAAAAGACUUGUUAGACAUUAUUAAGGGCUCGAAAGUUGAAUCGAGCACAGUAAAUGUACAAACAACAAAGCCACCCAGCAGAAAUCCACUUAAAAGCUACAACUGGCGGGCCUCAAAGAGCUGCAGAACAUGCUCCAAAGAAGAGAAAUGAGCCCCUGAGUCGUGAGUUGGUGGCAGCUGCAUCUGCUGCCCUCUUUUGACAAACAUUAGUAACAAAAUAUCAGAUACGAAAAUUGCCAGAUGUGCUACAGCUGAAGUUAGUUACUAAGUCAAGAGCAUCAGAUUCAGUUUGACCAAGUCUUUGACAAUUAUCCUGACCAGGAGAAGACUGCUGAUCUUAGAAACAGGAAAAAUACAUUCAUGGGGAAGAGAUGUAAUAGGUUUGACAUUACGGCAGUUACAGCAUCUGAACAGUUGGCCUGGAUCUGAAUGAUGAAUGUGGCGGUUGUUAGAAGGAAAACUUGGGAUUGUAACGUUCCCCAAAUUGGGAAGGCAUCGAGAGACCAAAGAAUAAUUUGGACAUAUCACCUUCACUUUGGGAUGUGGAAUUUGCUAAGUAGUUAGCCACAGAAAAUGAACACCCCUUCAGAAUGGGUUUGAAGAGCUGAUCCACUGGAUGAAAGAGGGGAAACUGGGAGUUCCCAAUUAACAGUGAAGCAGGAGCUGAUUAAGGCUUUGGAACAGAAACCAGAUGAUGCACGAUAGUAUUGUCAAAGAGCUUAUUGUCACAUUCUUCUUGGGAGUUACUGUGUUGCUGUUGCCGAUGCAAAAAAGUCUUGCGAACUCAAUCUAAUUCCACUGCUGUGCUAAGAAAAGGGUAUUCAAUAGCUACUCUUUUUGUUGAGCUUGGACUGUAAAUAGUAGAUGUUUAAUUUGUUGAAUUGAGUUCAUUGUAAGCUUUAUAAGUAGUAAAAUUCUAUAUUUAUACAUUUUAUAGAAGAGAUAUGACUCAAUUUUAAAUACAAAGUUAUAGUUCUAUUAUUUUGUUAACCAUAGUAUGUGAUAGUAGAUCUGUACUUAACAUUAGUAAAAUUCUAUAUUUAUACAUUUUAUAGAAGAGAUAUGACUCAAUUUUAAAUACAAAGUUACAGUUCUAUUAUUUUGUUAACCAUAGUAUGUGAUAGUAGAUCUAUACUUAACAUAUUUUAAAAUAGUGAUGAUUGAAAUAAUGGCAAGGUGUAGAUGAAACUGAAGGAUUUCACAUUACUUUUUUAUCAUUUGGAAUUUACUGUAUUUAACUGACUAGAGAACAUCUUAUUCUUCAGCCAAGCUGAAUAGGCUGCAUUGAAUGCUAUGAAAGCUCUGUAUCUGUGUGCUUUAUAUCCCAUCUUGUUUCUAAGUGUAACUUUAUUCUUUAAGAAACUUUAAUUCCUUUGUAUAAUUAUAUUUUGGAAUAAGCAAGUAUCUACAAUUAAAGUGAAAUUCCUUCUGAA